CAAGGUCGUCGUCAGUAUUGUAAAAAGGAGACUUCAGAAAUCCAAAAACUACGAUGGCAUUAUUUGAAUUUACCUCUGAUGAAGAAAUCCAAGCCUUUAAUAAUGAAGAUAAGGGAACAUUGUGGAAAUAACUGCAGGCUUUAUCAAACUACCCAAUUCAGCCUUCAGAAACCUGAAUGAGAGGAUCGCUUUACUGGAAUACCAUGUGCAACCACACAGCACAAUAAACUAUCACAGCGAAUAUAAAAGUACGAUAGCUAAUCCAGGUAUAAAAUUCAAAAGUAUCCCCUUCGACGAGGUCAUGAUUGUGGAUGGACACAUUGCUAUAGCUGGUGGCGGGUUGAGGGUCGCAGAUAGGAAUACAAUUGAUAUUGUGGAAGAUAGCAUUCUGACUCAGGACUCUCUAUUUAUAAACUUGAAAUAUUUAUAAUUGAUUGCUUAUGGAAAAAAUGAAGUUUAUAUUUGAUCAUUAAUAGAUAAUUAUAUGUUAGGAACAUUGUGAUUAAUUGUAAACAAUCAAGACUUUCAGAAUACAAUAUGUAAGG